AUUGAACGCUGGCGGCAGGCCUAACACAUGCAAGUCGAGCGAGCGGCGGACGGGAGUGUUAUGCCUGGAACUUGCCCAGUCGGGGGGGAUCACAGUUGAAAACGACUGCUAAUCCCGCAUCCGCUUGGAUUGCACAGGUGGGAUUAGCUAGUUGGUGGGGUAAUGGCUCACCAAGGCGACGAUCCCUAGCUGGUCUGAGAGGAUGAUCAGCCACACUGGAACUGAGACACGGUCCAGACUCCUACGGGAGGCAGCAGUGGGGAAUAUUGCACAAUGGGGGCAACCCUGAUGCAGCCAUGCCGCGUGAGUGAAGAAGGCCUUCGGGUUGUAAAGCACUUUCGGCGAGGAGGCGUUACUCGCAGAAGAAGCACCGGCUAACUCCGUGCCAGCAGCCGCGGUAAUAC
rnacentral:rRNA from 1 species